rnacentral:rRNA from 1 species
UGGGCAACCUGCCCCAGACACAGGGAUAACCCCGGGAAACCGGGGCUAAUACCGGAUACUCCGGUCGAACCGCAUGGCUCGAUCGGGAAAGCUCCGACGGUCUGGGAUGGGCCCGCGGCCUAUCAGCUUGUUGGUGGGGUCAUGGCUCACCAAGGCGACGACGGGUAGCUGGUCUGAGAGGACGACCAGCCACACUGGAACUGAGACACGGCCCAGACUCCUACGGGAG